rnacentral:ncRNA from 3 species
GCGUCUCAGAGGUCAAACACAGUAAGUCAUAUUAAGCUGUGUUAGGCCUCCGAGUCUG